GCUGAUCAUAUCAUGGACAGCUUGCAGGCACAAUUUUGUAUAGAAUUCAGUAAGAGAUGUGCUAACUCCAGCACUUUGAAUACUUUCUAUCAAACAUCUAAGUUUGUCAAACUGAAUUUCUUCUUCUGCAUGCUCCUGAGCAAAAGAGAUUUCUGCAUCUACAGCAGGGAAUAUAACUUUGUCCUCAGCAAUACUGUGAAAUAUGCACACUUCUGCAAUG
rnacentral:misc_RNA from 1 species